rnacentral:ncRNA from 2 species
GUCGGACCCGGUUUUUCGGGUGGCUCGGCCCGGCGCCAAUCCCCGGGACAACC